CUGAACCCUUAUUGAAUUGUCUUGAACCAACUUUUAUAGAGAUUUGGUGCACCAUUUAUGUAGUUUCUAUACCAAAUUGGGUCAUAAAAUUGAUUAUGUACAUGUAAUAUUGAGUUUGCUUGAUGACAUAAAAAUUCAAGGCACAAAACUAUGUUGGUUUUUUACAACAGCAGGGCCACUCCUCAUCGAAAAUCAGAAAGAGCGUACAAAAUGCACCUUCUGUGUGCCAAUUUGAUGCAGUACGUGCUCCAACGAGUCUUAAUAAUUUGGUAAUUCAGCUUAGGAAAGUCUGUAACCAUCAUGACCUCUUAGAAUCAGUCUUUGAUGGUUCAUAUUUUUAUUCUCAUGUGAAUGAGAUAAUUGAAAAAUGUGGAAAAUUUCAAUUGCUCGACCGAUUGCUGGAGCGACUAUUUGCAUGGAAUCACAAGGUUCUGAUCUUCAGUCAGUGGACCAAAGUGCUAGAUAUAAUGGAUUAUUAUUUUAGUGAAAAGGGUUUCCAAGUUUCCACGAUUGACGGUUCGGCGAAGCU